UACGAAGGGGGCUAGCGUUGUUCGGAAUUACUGGGCGUAAAGGGCGCGUAGGCGGUACUUCAAGUCAGGCGUGAAAGCCCCGGGCUCAACCUGGGAACCGCGCUUGAGACUGGAGAACUAGAGUUCGGGAGAGGAUGGUGGAAUUCCCAGUGUAGAGGUGAAAUGCGUAGAUAUCGAGAGGAACACCUGCGGCGAAGGCGGGUUGCUGGGCUGACACUGACGCUGAAGCGCGAAAGCUAGGGGAGCGAACGGG
rnacentral:rRNA from 1 species